UGGCGGCGUGCCUAACACAUGCAAGUCGAACGAGAAAAUCCUGCUUCGGCGGGAUGAGUAAAGUGGCGCACGGGUGAGUAACGCGUGGGUAACCUGCCCUUGAAUCGGGGAUAACUUCGCGAAAGCGUAGCUAAUACCGGAUACUGUCCUCAAGGCUGUGGCCCUGGGGAUGAAAGGUGACCUCUUCAUGAAAGUUGCCGUUUGGGGAGGGGCUCGCGUACCAUUAGCUUGUUGGUGGGGUAAUGGCCCACCAAGGCGACGAUGGUUAGCUGGUCUGAGAGGAUGAUCAGCCACACUGGAACUGAAACACGGUCCAGACUCCUACGGGAGGCAGCAGUGAGGAAUUUUGCGCAAUGGGGGAAACCCUGACGCAGCAACGCCGCGUGAGUGAAGAAGGCUUUCGGGUCGUAAAGCUCUGUCAGAUGGGAAAAAAUACUAUCGAUGAAUAGUCGAUAGGAUUGAUGGUACCAUCAGAGGAAGCACCGGCUAACUCCGUG
rnacentral:rRNA from 1 species